ACGAACGCUGGCGGCGUGCUUAACACAUGCAAGUCGCACGGAAAGGCCCUGCUUUUGUGGGGUGCUCGAGUGGCGAACGGGUGAGUAACACGUGAGUAACCUGCCCUUGACUUUGGGAUAACUUCAGGAAACUGGGGCUAAUACCGGAUAGGAGCUCCUGCUGCAUGGUGGGGGUUGGAAAGUUUCGGCGGUUGGGGAUGGACUCGCGGCUUAUCAGCUUGUUGGUGGGGUAGUGGCUUACCAAGGCUUUGACGGGUAGCCGGCCGGAGAGGGUGACCGGCCACAUUGGGACUGAGAUACGGCCCAGACUCCUACGGGAGGCAGCAGUGGGGAAUAUUGCACAAUGGGCGGAAGCCUGAUGCAGCAACGCCGCGUGCGGGAUGACGGCCUUCGGGUUGUAAACCGCUUUCGCCUGUGACGAAGCGUGAGUGACGGUAAUGGGUAAAGAAGCACCGGCUAACUACGUG
rnacentral:rRNA from 1 species